rnacentral:rRNA from 1 species
UGCGUAGGGUGCAAGCGUUAAUCGGAAUUACUGGGCGUAAAGCGUGCGCAGGCGGCUUUGCAAGACAGAUGUGAAAUCCCCGGGCUUAACCUGGGAACUGCAUUUGUGACUGCAUGGCUGGAGUGCGGCAGAGGGGGAUGGAAUUCCGCGUGUAGCAGUGAAAUGCGUAGAUAUGCGGAGGAACACCGAUGGCGAAGGCAAUCCCCUGGGCCUGCACUGACGCUCAUGCACGAAAGCGUGGGGAGCAAACAGG